rnacentral:rRNA from 1 species
UAAAACUAAAGCCGAACGUCCUCAGAGCUGUUUAACGCUUCCGAGUUAAGAAGGUCUUUUACGAAAGUAGCUUUACCAAACCUGACCCCACGAAAGCUGUGAAACAAACUGGGAUUAGAUACCCCACUAUGCUCAGCCCUAAAAUUUGAUAGGUCGCCACGCCCCCUAUCCGCCCGGGUACUACGAGCAUCAGCUUAAAAACCCAAAGGACUUGGCGGCGCUUCACAUCCGUCUAGAGGAGCCUGUCCUGUAACCGAUAACCCCCGUUAAACCUCACCCUCCCUUGUUAAUCCCGCCUAUAUACCGCCGUCGUCAGCCCACCCUGUGAAGGACUAGAAGUGCGCAAGAUUGGUAAAACCCAAAACGUCAGGUCGAGGUGUAGUACAUGAGAGGGGAAGAGAUGGGCUACAUUUCCUGAAUCAGGAAAUACGAACAAUGAACUGAAAUAAGCAUUAGAAGGUGGAUUUAGCAGUAAGCAGAUAAACAGAGUGUUCUGCUGAAACUACGGCAAUAGAGCGCGUACAUAUCGCCCGUCACUCUCCCCGAGCUACCUAAAAAGUCACACCUGCAAAGGGGAGGCAAGUCGUAACACGGUAAGCGUACCGGAAGGUGUGCUUGGACAAA